GUAGUUAGCCGGGGCUUUCUAAUGGGGUACCGUCACUUCCUUCGUCCCCCACAACAGAGGUUUACAAUCCGAAAACCUUCUUCCCUCACGCGGCGUUGCUGGGUCAGGCUUUCGCCCAUUGCCCAAUAUUCCCCACUGCUGCCUCCCGUAGGAGUCUGGACCGUGUCUCAGUUCCAGUGUGGCCGUUCAGCCUCUCAGCUCGGCUACCCAUCGUCGGCUUGGUGGGCUGUUAUCUCACCAACUACCUAAUGGGACGCGAACCCCUCCUUUAGCGGAUUGCUCCUUUGACCCCUUCGCCAUGUGGCAUUGUGGUCUUAUGCGGUAUUAGCACUUGUUUCCAGGUGUUAUCCCCCUCUAAAGGUCAGGUUGUUCACGCGUUACUCACCCGUGCGCCACUCAGUUACCAACCGAAAUCGAUAACUCCGUUCGACUUGCAUGUGUUAGGCACGCCGCCAGCGUUCGUCCUAAGCCAUAAUCAAACUCUGA
rnacentral:rRNA from 1 species